rnacentral:rRNA from 1 species
AGAGUUUGAUCCUGGCUCAGGAUGAACGCUAGCUACAGGCUUAACACAUGCAAGUCGAGGGGAAACGACAUCGAAAGCUUGCUUUUGAUGGGCGUCGACCGGCGCACGGGUGAGUAACGCGUGUCCAACCUGCCCACCACUUGGGGAUAACCUUGCGAAAGUAAGACUAAUACCCAAUGACGUCUCUAGAAGACAUCUGAAGGAGAUUAAAGAUUUAUCGGUGAUGGAUGGGGAUGCGUCUGAUUAGCUUGUUGGCGGGGUAACGGCCACCAAGGCGACGAUCAGUAGGGGUUCUGAGAGGAACGGUCCCCCANAUUGGAACUGAGACACGGUCCAAACUCCGUAACGGGAGGCA